AGCGAACGCUGGCGGCAGGCUUAACACAUGCAAGUCGAACGGGCAUCUUCGGAUGUCAGUGGCAGACGGGUGAGUAACACGUGGGAACGUACCCGUCGGUUCGGAAUAACUCAGGGAAACUUGAGCUAAUACCGGAUACGCCCUUUUGGGGAAAGGUUUACUGCCGAAGGAUCGGCCCGCGUCUGAUUAGCUUGUUGGUGGGGUAACGGCCUACCAAGGCGACGAUCAGUAGCUGGUCUGAGAGGAUGAUCAGCCACACUGGGACUGAGACACGGCCCAGACUCCUACGGGAGGCAGCAGUGGGGAAUAUUGGACAAUGGGCGCAAGCCUGAUCCCGCCAUGCCGCGUGAGUGAUGAAGGCCUUAGGGUUGUAAAGCUCUUUUGUCCGGGACGAUAAUGACGGUACCGGAAGAAUAAGCCCCGGCUAACUUCGUG
rnacentral:rRNA from 1 species